rnacentral:rRNA from 1 species
GAUGAACGCUGGCGGCGUGCUUAACACAUGCAAGUCGAACGGGAAUUACUUUAUUGAAACUUCGGUCGAUUUAAUUUAAUUCUAGUGGCGGACGGGUGAGUAACGCGUGGGUAACCUGCCUUAUACAGGGGGAUAACAGUCAGAAAUGGCUGCUAAUACCGCAUAAGCGCACAGAGCUGCAUGGCUCAGUGUGAAAAACUCCGGUGGUAUAAGAUGGACCCGCGUUGGAUUAGCUUGUUGGUGGGGUAACGGCCCACCAAGGCGACGAUCCAUAGCCGGCCUGAGAGGGUGAACGGCCACAUUGGGACUGAGACACGGCCCAGACUCCUACGGGAGGCAGCAGUGGGGAAUAUUGCACAAUGGGGGAAACCCUGAUGCAGCGACGCCGCGUGAAGGAAGAAGUAUCUCGGUAUGUAAACUUCUAUCAGCAGGGAAGAUAGUGACGGUACCUGACUAAGAAGCCCCGGCUA